GACGCACGUGACCCCGGAAGCGGGAAGUGUGUGCGAUCAUGGCGGACUCACGCAGCGUCGCGCCGGCUCUGCCCAAAAACAUUCGUACUGGUUUGAUUUCUGGAUGUUUCUGGUGUUCGAUGUCAUUCUGUUCCUCAUCGUUUACUUCGUCAUUCCCUGAGCGCAGUCAGCCUCCUGUCCGGUUCACCGAGAGCCUGGUCCUCAGCUGAUGGACGGGAUGGCAGCGGCCGCUGGACUCAGAUCUGGAGGACUGGCUCUCGUCCUGAACUCUAAACACAUUCCCUGCUCUACUCACACCCUCAAUUGCAUUUAAUAACCUAAAGUCUAAAACUGUCCCUUCAUGCUCCCACUGUGAGGAAUCACUCGAAAUGACAAGAAGAUGCACAUUCAUCAGUCUGGACGCUUUAUACACAUUAUCCUGUAACAUAUAAAUAUGACUGAAAAAUAGACAUUAAAGUCUUUGUUGGAUGCAUGUAUGUAUGAAAAACUGAAUAAUUAAAUCAGUGUGACUUUUAAA